rnacentral:lncRNA from 13 species
AUGAAACUGGGAGAUUUCAAGGAGUUAAUGCCCUUAGGAGCAUCUCCCAAUCCAUGCUAGAAAGAAGCUGAUAUAGAAAUAAAUCUCCUUGUUUACCCUCUGUAACACUAUUAGCAUCUUUCUGGAAUAUGAGCUUCCGAUUUUGAAGACAUUUGUCAAAUUUCACUUCUGGU